GGGCCUGUAGCUCAAGGGUUAGAGCCGGCGGCUCAUAACCGCUUGGUUGGGGUUCGAACCCCUCCGGCCGG
rnacentral:tRNA from 1 species